rnacentral:rRNA from 1 species
UACGAAGGGGGCUAGCGUUGUUCGGAAUUACUGGGCGUAAAGCGUGCGCAGGCGGCUGCUCAAGUCAGGGGUGAAAGCCCAGAGCUCAACUCUGGAAUUGCCUUUGAGACUGAGUGGCUUGAGUACGGGAGAGGUGAGUGGAAUUCCCAGUGUAGAGGUGAAAUUCGUAGAUAUUGGGAAGAACACCGGUGGCGAAGGCGGCUCACUGGCCCGAUACUGACGCUGAGGCACGAAAGCGUGGGGAGCAAACAGG